AUUGAACGCUGGCGGCAUGCCUUACACAUGCAAGUCGAACGGUAACAGGUCUUCGGAUGCUGACGAGUGGCGAACGGGUGAGUAAUACAUCGGAACGUGCCUAGUAGUGGGGGAUAACUACUCGAAAGAGUGGCUAAUACCGCAUGAGAUCUACGGAUGAAAGCAGGGGAUCGCAAGACCUUGUGCUACUAGAGCGGCCGAUGGCAGGUUAGGUAGUUGGUGGGAUAAAAGCUUACCAAGCCGACGAUCUGUAGCUGGUCUGAGAGGACGAUCAGCCACACUGGGACUGAGACACGGCCCAGACUCCUACUGGAGGCAGAAGUGGUGAAUUUUGGACAAUGGGCGAAAGCCUGAUCCAGCAAUGCCGCGUGCAGGAUGAAGGCCUUCGGGUUGUAAACUGCUUUUGUACGGAACGAAAAGCCCCGGGUUAAUACCCUGGGGUCAUGACGGUACCGUAAGAAUAAGCACCGGCUAACUACGUGCCAGCCGCCGCCGUAA
rnacentral:rRNA from 1 species